UCUACUACCUCACUAUUAUAGUUUUACGAAGAAAUCUUAAAAGAGAAAGAUGGCAUUGGGUACUCGUGCCUGCAAUGCUAGUCGGUUCUUGAUUUUCUCAUUGCUUAUAUAUAUUUAUUACCUUUUCCAGUGUAGCUGAGUUUUUGGAUUUUUUUUUUCCCUUUCGGGGAAGGGUUACAACCAACUUCGUCCACAGGAUUGCAGGCCAAUAUGUACAUAUAGCUGCUCGGCGGCAUCCCACAAGAAGCCAUGCAUGCAUGUUUUUCUGUCUUCAAUGCUGUGCAAAAUGCUUGUGUGCGCCUCGGGCUCUUCCGGCAACAAACAAACUUGAUCUCGCUACAACAAUUUCAAGAAUAAGAACGGAAGUCCCAAUUGCCCUUAAUUUUUGUAGCCUACAAAGCGAGAAAGAUGAAGAAGGUGGAAGAGAGGAGUCCCUAGCCUUCCUUUUUUUUUUUUUUUUUUUUGUUUUCCAUCUUACAAACUUGGCUUCUCUCCGGUGGAUUUCCACUCCAUUUCUCGUAGUACACAUAUGGAUGCAUGACAUGUGUCUUUAUUUAUUAACAUGGAUUAGGAUUAGUCAAAUUUAAAAUGAUCAUGUCCCUUUCUAAUAAAUGAAAACACAUGUCAUGCGUUCAGAUAUAUAUUGUGAAAAAUGAAGAGAGAAUCCACUAAAAAAAAGCCAAAUCAGUCUACCCCUCUUAUUAAGAUUGUAGAAUGUUCUUGCAAAUUAUGACCUUUGUCUGGAAUGUGAGUAAAUAUAUCAUGUCAAUUGCUUAAUGAACUUUGGCUGUCUUAUGUAGAGUUGAAUUAGGUUUUUUGGGUGUUCUAAUUGAAACACGUGAGUAUACUCCUUCCUUCUGGGGACAUUGAUCCAAAGCUCGAGUACGGUCCGUGCACUAUUUUUCUUCUCUACCAUGACGAAUCGAUUGAUUUUGAUGUAGACAUUGUUAAGCAAUGUGUCUCGCCCCAUGAAUUGCAGCCUGAGCUCUCAGAUGCAGAACACCAAGAGAGCAGGAGAUUUUCGAACUCAAUUUGUCUGAACUCGACGUCAAUUGCCCGUACCAAACUACUGUUGUUAUCGCCUCGAGACGUCACGUCUGUUGGGUUCAUCGUCUUUCUUU